UACGGAGGGUGCGAGCGUUGCUCGGAAUCACUGGGCGUAAAGCGCACGUAGGCGGAUUGUUAAGUCAGGGGUGAAAUCCUGGAGCUCAACUCCAGAACUGCCUUUGAUACUGGCGAUCUCGAGUCCGGGAGAGGUGAGUGGAACUGCGAGUGUAGAGGUGAAAUUCGUAGAUAUUCGCAAGAACACCAGUGGCGAAGGCGGCUCACUGGCCCGGUACUGACGCUGAUGCGCGAAAGCGUGGGGA
rnacentral:rRNA from 1 species